AGCAAUCUAGCUAUAACUAUGAUGACUAGUUAGCCUGUGUUGGUCUAGUCAGUCACUCAAGAUGGAAUGGAGCAAGGUAUGCUAACAGUACUUGAUUUAUCUCUCCUCUUGCCUUCGUGAUGUUCAUGUUUUCUUUGAUAACUGUACAAAAUAAAAUGCAUUUCUCAUUAGGUAUUAGAGCUUCACUAACGUAAACUCACCCCAUUACAUACAAAUGUGCGCAACUGCAACAUUCAAACGAGGCUACAAAGAACUAAUGGGACUGUAGCGACUGUGUUGACCUUCAAAUUCGGGGGUGUGAACUAGGUUUCUAUUCAAGCAUUGAUCGACAUGGUAAUGGCUCUAUAGUAUUGGAGAAAAGUUGACAAAACUGACCGUCCGUUACGUCUUGACGUGUUAUGUCGUAACGUACAGCAUGCAUAGAGUAGAGCUACUGAGUUGCCUACUUUUAGCCCUAGUCGGCCAGCAGUAGAAUAUAUAAAGCACGUAGUAUAUCAAGAAGAAUGAGCGUCCCUGUUUCUAUUGUCACAAAGUGGGACAUAUGAUUAAUGAUUGCUUCCUGCUAAAACGCAAACAAGGGAUGCUUCUUCGUGCCAAGCCGCCAACAGGUGUUGGGCUAAUUCGUACGGUUGUGAGGUCUGAAACUAAACAGGUUCCUCGGGAUAACUGUAGUUUGAAAGUCCCAGUCCCCGACCGCAGUUAUGAACCAUUCAUUUGAGGGGUUUGUGUCCCAAAUGAAUGACGAAGCGUCUCAGCGUCCGGUUAAAAUCCUUAGAGAUACUGGUGCGGCGUAAUGACAUAUUAUAUAAACUCUUUAUAGUGUUUUAUUUACAUUUUAGAGGCGAUAAGUUGGACAGAUCAAAAGCAAUUUUCCCACACAACAUCUCCUUCUCACUAUCACGCAUUAGUUUCGCUUCCCCACUCGACAUUUAAAAAAAGAAAAUUGUGCUUUACAAUGGUAUUAACAUUACAGUUGAUCUUGGAAGUAUUACGUUUUUGGGGCGCUAAAAUAAGGGCAAUUGUACGGACCAAGGCGAUGUACGAGUUUACAUGAGUUUACGUUAACUGGCUAGUGAUAUUAUAUUUUGACCGUAGCUAGCCAGCCAAACGAGAGAAGGGUGCUGAGAAGGAAUGUACAGUGUUUUCGGAAAGUAUUCAGACCCCUUGACUUUUUCCACACUUUGAUACAUUACAGCCCUUUUUCUAAAAUGUAUUAACUUGUUGUUUUUUCUCAUCAAUCUACACACAAUACCCCAUAAUGACAAAGCAAAAAGAAAAACGAUCACUUUUUGCAUAAGUAUUCAGACCCUUUAUUUCGUACUUUGUUGAAGCAUCUUUGGCUGAGAUCACAGCAGUCUUCUUGGGUAUGCCGCUAAAAGCUUGGCACACCUGUAUUUGGGGAGUUUAUCCCAUUGUUCUCUGCAGAUCCUCUCAAGUUCUGUCAGGUUGAAUGGGGUGCAUUGCUGCACAGCUAUUUUCAGGUCUCUCACAGAGAUGUAUGAUCGGGUUCAAGUCCGGACUCUGGCUGGGCCACUGAAGGACGUGAUGCGGCUUGUCCCGAAGCCACUCCUGUGUUAUCUUGGCUGUGUGCUUACGGUCGUUGUCCUGUUGGAAAGUUUAACCUUCACCCCAGUCUGGGGUACUGAGCUCUCUGGAGCAGGUUUUCAUCCAGGAUCUCUGUUCUUUGCUCCAUUCAUCUUUGCCUCGAUCCUGACUAGUCUCCCAGUCUCUGCCACUGACAAACAUCCCCACAGCAUGAUGCUGCCACUACCAUGCUUCACCAUAGAGAUGGUGCCAGGUUUCCUCUAGACGUGACACGUGUAAUUCAUGCUAAAGGGUUCAGUCUUGGAUUCAUCAGACAAGAUAAUCUUGUUUCUCAUGGUCUGAGAGUCUUUAGGUGCCUUUUGGCAAACUCCAAGCAGGCUGUCAUGUGCCUUUUUUACUGAGGAGUGGCUUCCGUCUGGCCACUCUACCAUAAAGGCCUGAUUGGUGGAGUGCUGCAAAGAUGGUUGUCCUUCAGGAAGGUUCUCCCAUCUCCACAGAGGAACUCUGGAGCUCUGUCAGAGUGACCAUGGGGUUCUUGGUCACCUCCCUGACCAAGGCCCUCCUCCCACGACUGCUCAGGUUGGCCGGGCGGCCAGCUCUAGGAAGAGUCUUGGUGGUUCCAAACUUAUUCCAUUUAAGAAUGGAGUUCACUGUGUUCUCGGGCAACUUUUUUUCAGAUAAUCAUUAGUCGCAUCAUGCAGCCUUACAUUGUAUUAAAAUCAAAACAUAUAGCCCAACGUUUAUAGAACUGCAGUUACAUUAAUACCUAUUUUAACCGCUCAACACAGAAUGGUUGCAUGUGCGCACACCCUCAAAUUGUUGGAGGAAAAAUUUUAUAUUUAAUCAGCUUUGUUCAAUUGUAUUCUUCAUACUAUAAAAUAAUGCCCUGGAAUUAUAGGCAAAUCUUGUCUGCUAAAUGAACUAGUUUAGCCCACAGCCAUAUGGCAUAGCCAGAUCAGGACAGAACAUAAGGACAACUUAGAGUAUGCUAUUCUGUUGUUCUGAGAAAGACUAAAUUUUCUUCAAAUCAUGCUUCUUUAGACCGGUCUAAAAAAUAAUUUAUUUAUUGUGAAGGUGUAGGCUAUAUUAUAUGAAUAAAAUGUUGUUUUUUUUUUAAAUGGUGGGUGUUCCAAAGGUUUGCAUCAGUGGCUUGUAGACUGUGUGGAAGCCAGGAGAUGCUAAAUGUGUUUGUUAAUUGUCAAUUACCGUGAGGCCGGCAGUUAUUUGCUUGACAAUCACCGGUUGACAGAAUUUUGUGACCGCCACAGCUCUAGUCUGGAGGAAACAUAGCACCAUCCUUAUGGUGAAGCAUUGUGAUGGCAGCAUCAUGCUAUGUGGAUGUUUUUCAGCAGCAUGGACUGGGAAAAUAGUCAAUUUAAUGCAUUUCAGAAUGAGGCUGUAACCUAACAAAAUGUGGAAAAGAUCAAGGGGUCCUAAUACGUUCCGGCUGGCUGGCUGGCUCCAUAGACAAACAUUGGCAGUAGAAUGGCCUUACUGAAGAGCUCAGUGACUUUCAAUGUGGCAUCGUCAUAGGAUGCCACCUUUCCAUCAAGUCGGUUCAUGAAAUUUCUGCCCUGCUAGAGCUGCCCCAGUCAACUGUAAGUGCUGUUGUGAAGUAGAAAUGUCUAGGAGCCACAACGGCUCAGCCGCGAAGUGGUAGGCCACACAAGGUCACAGAACAGGACCGACGAGUUUUGAAGCGCGUAGCGUGUAACAAUCGUCUCCUCGGUUGCAACACUCACUACAGAGUUCCAAAAUGCCUGUGGAAGCAAUGCCAGCACAAGAACUGUUGAUCGGGAGCUUCAGCCUAAGAUCAUUGGACUUUGGAACAGCGGAAAUGUGUUUUCUGAAGUGAUGAAUCACGCGUCACCAUCUGGCAAUCCGACGAGAGAACGCUACCUGCCCUAAUGCAUAGUGCCAACUACAUUUUGCUGGAGGAGGAAUAAUGAUCUGGGGCUGUUUUACAUGGUUCAGGCUAGGCCCCUUAGUUCCAGUGAAGGGAAAUCUUAAUGCUACAGCAUACAAUAGCAUUCUAGACGAUUCUGUGCUUUCAACUUGGGGGGGGGGGGAAGACCCGUUCCUGUUUCAGCGUGAUAAUGUCACUGUGCACAAAGCGAGGUCCAUACAGAAAUGGUGUGUCGAGAUGAUAAGUUUGGAAGAACUUGACUGGCCUGCACAGAUCCCUGACCUCAACCCCAUCGAACACAUUUGGAAUACGGACUGUGAGCCAGGCCUAAUCGCACAACAUCAGUGCCCAACCAACACUAAUGCUCUUGUGGCUGAAUAGAAUCAAGUCCCCACAGCAAUUUUCCAAAUUCUAAUGGAACGCCUUCCCAGAAAGGUGGAGACUGUUAUAGCAGCAAAGGGGGGACCAACUCUAUAUUAAUACAUGAUUUUGGAAUGAGUAGCUAGUUAUAUCCCCAAAGCCAUGUAGUCAUCCCCUGAUGACGUUUGAGAAAUUUAACGGACUCAUAAAUGUUGGGUGCGUAACCUGAUUAGGGCGUCCACCCACAGUGCUCAGACUGACAGAAAUCACAUUUAGAAUAUGGUAAUUAUUUAUAUUAACAUAACAAAUUCUGAUGUGCACUUUGGACAAGUUAGAAUAACUGUCCACAUUUACUUUUCCUCAGCCAACAAGACAAGUAACAAAUAGCAAAACCACUAGCUUAUGUCAAUCUAUUGUAGAGAAGUUUAGGCUACCUAUUCGAUUGGUCAGCUUGUUGAGAAAUAAAUGGCCUUUUCCAAACAGACUCUGGGACAGUUGCACAACCUGUAGGCCUAGGCUACAGUACAUUAAGUAAAAUAACAACAAGUCUGCAACGAAUCAGAAUGUUUGCCUCACAUGUAUUAAAACAUUCAAGUUUCAAACGUUGCUUAUUGCAAAGUGGUGUGUGACGUACUGAUGAAGCCUGCCUUCCAUUGCCGUUUGAUGCAUUCAAAACAACUGGGAAAUUGGAAAUCUCUGACUUCCGACUUCAGUUUGUUCAACGAUAACUGGGAAAAAACGAGCACCGACUGGGGAAAAGUAUUUAUGAACCGUCAUCCAACUUGGAAUUUCAACUCAGGAACUCUAGCUUUCCGACCUGCAGAUUACUGACGUCAUGAUUUGAGUUCCCAGUUGUCCUUGCGAUUUGAUAACGUGUGGAUACACUAAUCACUUUCAUUCAUGAUUCCCAUUUUUAUGUACCGAAGUGUAUUCUGAAUAUAACUUUCAAUCUUAAGCUAUUCUUCGGCGGGGUUGUCACUGAUUUUACAUUUGAAAUGUACAUUUUCCUUGUUUGUCUUUGAGUUUUAGAAAUGGACAGAGGGGACCAGUACCAUUUGAAUAAUGCAGUCCUUGUCUAUGAGGAGGACACUGAUGGCAAAGCUGCGGGUCAUUGCCACGCAAGUCCUGUAGGAUGAGGACGACAAUGAAGACAUGGCCUUCUUAAAGGAAGAUACCCUAUGAUGCUGAGCUCCUCGGAGAAGACGAGGCUGAAGAGAAUGAGAUCAAGGAGCCAGAGAAAGUGGAGCCACCAGUUGAGGCCUCUCAGCCAAGCUUUUCAACUGGAAGUCAUUCUGUUCGUGCUCCACUUCCCGUUAGCGUAAAUGCGCUGUCUUGCCUGAUAGCAUGUUUCAGUCCUAUGUUGAUGUUGAUACACAGGCACCGGAGUCCAUCUCUUUCAGGCCUGAACAUCCAGCAGGUUUAAGUCUUGGCAGUGUACGUCAGGCAGUUCGGUCGACGGCUCAGGAAAGACUAAGGGAGAGACUUCUUGUUGUUUUUCAUGCAGGCGUUGGUGGUGGUGGUUUGUGGGUUCCCAAAUAGUCACGGUUGGGGUCUUGUUUCGGGAGUGCCCGUCGUAUGGUGAUUCCGUCAAAGCAUGGCUUGAGGUUACACCUACAGUAUUCUACCGGUUUCUUUGACUGCUCAUUUACGUGGGAUUUACCGAACUGCCGGACCUUCAUCGGUACUGGGGUGCAAAGUCUAUUCAGGGCUCUCUUGGGCUAGAGCUUUAAUGUUGCGUAAUCACUUCAAAGCUCUGUUGGCUGCUUUACACGUUGUGGAUCCUGCCACUGAGGAUAAGGAAGAUAGGCUUAGAAAACUGCGGUCCUUCCUGGACCACCUGAAACAGACCUGUAAAAAGCUGUAUCAGCCAAAGCGAAGUGUAGACCUAGAUGAGUGCAUGUUCAAAUCAAAGGGGCGAUCAGGAAUCAAGCAGUAUUUUAAAGUGUGGCCAACUAGGUGGGGAAUUUAAAUGAUGGGCCAUUGCUUCAUCUGACACAGGCUACACUUCAGGUUUUACAGGUUUACAUAUGGGGAUAUGUGUUGGCGUAGGAUAGGGGGCAAUGUAUUUGCCGUGCAGUAGAGAGACAGGGUUAACAGGUUUGAUAAGUUCAAAUUUGAGCUGUUGAUCAACUCCUCCAUUGUUUUGCAGAACACCCAGAAGUGGUGGGGAACACCCCCCCACCCCCCACUGUGUUGAUAUUGCAGUCAUCAACAGUUAACUUUUGUUCCAGGAAUGGUAGUGUAAUCACGCAGCACCUGGCAAGGCAAAUGAGCAAAUUGGUUACUGCCAGUUUACAUUCAGAGACGCUUUCUCAUCAGUUAGGAGGUGAUUGUGUUAAUGACCGGUAUCUUUUGACAGACCUUUGUCUGUGAAAACUGUACGCUCAUCUUUUCACACACAGCAUGUGCCCAGUCUACAGGCGCCCUCUAUAAAUUGCUGGCUGUGUUUCCUGUGUCACAGGAAAGAUAAAAGAGAACAGGUUUGUUUGUGUGGCAUAUGAUUUUGCAUCGUGGAGGACCGACGUUGUUUUAGGUUAUGGCACUCAUCUGAUUUCGACUCAUAGCAGAAAUAGGCUCUAGUAAAGGGACUCGGAUGUAGCCCAGAUGUUCACUAGUAAAGGGACUCGGAUGUAGCCCAGAUGUUCACUAGUAAAGGGACUCGGAUGUAGCCCAGAUGUUCACUAGUAAAGGGACUCGGAUGUAGCCCAGAUGUUCACUAGUAAAGGGACUCGGAUGUAGCCCAGAUGUUCACUAGUAAAGGGACUCGGAUGUAGCCCAGAUGUUCACUAGUAAAAGGACUCUGAUGUAGCCCAGAUGUUCACUAGUAAAGGGACUCUCUUGCAUGUUUCCUUUUCCUGCAUGUCCCUUCACCUGCAUGUCCCUUCACCUGCAUGUCCCUUCACCUGCAUGUCCCUUCACCUGCAUGUCCCUUCACCUGCAUGUCCCUUCACCUGCAUGUCCUUUUUUCCUUGGUUGUUUUCCCUUUCUUUUCUGAGACAUCCUGCAUGCCAGCCUCCCUUUAUGUUUCAUUCAUGAUUCUAAUGGCCUUGGGGAUGUAACGGACUUCUAAAUUGUAAUGAGUGUAAAAUAAUGUUGCGCUUUUGGAAUUGUUCCUGUACUGAUUAUUUGUGUAAUAGAUUAAAUGCUAGUUGAAUGUAGAAAUGGAAGUUGUAAAAUCUAAUAAUUAUUGUUAAAUGCCUUAUUUGUUCAUAUUUUGUCAUUCCAGUUCAAUUCUGAUGAAAGUAGCCCUGAAAUGAAUGUUGUUAUGAUUAUGAUAGCAGUUUUAAAUGCCUUCAUUUUCAGGUUUGAAUGAGAUAAUGUAUUCCGCUAAGAUUAUUAUUUCAAUAAAGUUCUUGUUUUAUUAAUAUUA